UACGUAGGGGGCUAGCGUUGUCCGGAUUUAUUGGGCGUAAAGAGCGUGUAGGCGGCCAGGUAGGUCCGUUGUGAAAACUCGAGGCUUAACCUCGAGAUGUCAUCGGAAACCAUCUGGCUAGAGUCCGGAAGAGGAGAGUGGAAUUCCUGGUGUAGCGGUGAAAUGCGCAGAUAUCAGGAAGAACACCAAUGGCGAAAGCAGCUCUCUGGGACGGUACUGACGCUGAGACGCGAAAGCGUGGGGAGCGAACAGG
rnacentral:rRNA from 1 species